UGGGGAAUUUUGGACAAUGGGCGCAAGCCUGAUCCAGCCAUGCCGCGUGCGGGAAGAAGGCCUUCGGGUUGUAAACCGCUUUUGUCAGGGAAGAAAUCUUCUGAGUUAAUACCUCGGGAGGAUGACGGUACCUGAAGAAUAAGCACCGGCUAACUACGUGCCAGCAGCCGCGGUAAUACGUAGGGUGCAAGCGUUAAUCGGAAUUACUGGGCGUAAAGCGUGCGCAGGCGGUUUUGUAAGACAGAGGUGAAAUCCCCGGGCUCAACCUGGGAACUGCCUUUGUGACUGCAAGGCUUGAGUGCGGCAGAGGGGGAUGGAAUUCCGCGUGUAGCAGUGAAAUGCGUAGAUAUGCGGAGGAACACCGAUGGCGAAGCAAUCCCCUGGGCCUGCACUGACGCUCAUGCACGAAAGCGUGGGGAGCAAACAGGAUUAGAUACCCUGGUAGUCCACGCCCUAAACGAUGUCAACUGGUUGUUGGGAAGGUUCCUUCUCAGUAACGUAGCUAACGCGUGAAGUUGACCGCCUGGGGAGUACGGCCGCAAGGUUGAAACUAAAUG
rnacentral:rRNA from 1 species